rnacentral:rRNA from 1 species
UCUCGGCAACGGAUAUCUCGGCUCUCGCAUCGAUGAAGAACGUAGCGAAAUGCGAUACCUAGUGUGAAUUGCAUAAUCCCGUGAACCAUCGAGUCUUUGAACGCAAGUUGCGCCCGAGGCCAUCCGGCUAAGGGCACGCCUGCCUGGGUGUCACG